rnacentral:rRNA from 1 species
UACAGAGGGGGCAAGCGUUGUUCGGAAUUACUGGGCGUAAAGGGCGCGUAGGCGGCCUUCUAAGUCAGACGUGAAAUCCCUCGGCUCAACCGGGGAACUGCGUCUGAGACUGGAAGGCUUGAAUCCGGGAGAGGGAUGUGGAAUUCCAGGUGUAGCGGUGAAAUGCGUAGAUAUCUGGAGGAACACCGGUGGCGAAGGCGGCAUCCUGGACCGGUAUUGACGCUGAGGAGCGAAAGCUAGGGGAGCAAACGGG